GAGGAAGGCGGGCGGCGUGCCUAAUACAUGCAAGUCGAGCGAACGGACGAGAAGCUUGCUUCUCUGAUGUUAGCGGCGGACGGGUGAGUAACACGUGGAUAACCUACCUAUAAGACUGGGAUAACUUCGGGAAACCGUAGCUAAUACCGGAUAAUAUUUUGAACCGCAUGGUUCAAAAGUGAAAGACGGUCUUGCUGUCACUUAUAGAUGGAUCCGCGCUGCAUUAGCUAGUUGGUAAGGUAACGGCUUACCAAGGCAACGAUGCAUAGCCGACCUGAGAGGGUGAUCGGCCACACUGGAACUGAGACACGGUCCAGACUCCUACGGGAGGCAGCAGUAGGGAAUCUUCCGCAAUGGGCGAAAGCCUGACGGAGCAACGCCGCGUGAGUGAUGAAGGUCUUCGGAUCGUAAAACUCUGUUAUUAGGGAAGAACAUAUGUGUAAGUAACUGUACACAUCUUGACGGUACCUAAUCAGAAAGCCACGGCUAACUACGUG
rnacentral:rRNA from 1 species